UACGUAGGGUGCGAGCGUUGUCCGGAAUUAUUGGGCGUAAAGAGCGUGUAGGCGGUUUGGUAGGUCCGCUGUGAAAACUCGAGGCUCAACCUCGAGACGCCGGUGGAAACCAUCAGACUAGAGUCCGGAAGAGGAGAGUGGAAUUCCUGGUGUAGCGGUGAAAUGCGCAGAUAUCAGGAAGAACACCCGUGGCUAAGGCGGCUCUCUAGUACGGUACUGACGCUGAGACGCGAAAGCGUGGGGAGCGAACAGG
rnacentral:rRNA from 1 species